rnacentral:piRNA from 1 species
UGAUAAAGACUAGACAUUGAAUUUGCUGU